CUGGCGUGUUAGUCUGGGGGCUCCUCCAGACGUCCGGGCGUUCCGGGCGCGGGUCAGGCGGAAGUGUGGCCAGAGUCGUGCCUAGGGCUGACCGGCCGCCGCCGACUGUGGACGGGAGGCGUCACUGGGUUGCAGGGAUGAACGGGGCGGGGAUCGGGCCGGCUAGCGGCGGCGCGCCCCCGGGUGAGCGGGGCUGCCGCUGGAAGCCCCAGCUGCCCGCUCGCUCCGGGCCCGCGGGCGUGGUGGCCGAGCAGCCGGUCCUCGGCUGGAACCUGCAGGGCUCCCGGGAACUGGUCCCGAGGCGUGGCGGAUAGGCUCCUUUCCGGUGCUUGGGAGGAUGGACUCCUGAAGUAGGGAGGCGGCCAGCCGCCUGCCGGUCGACCGCCGUCUGUGCUUCCUAAUUCGCCCUUCCCGGCUGAUCUCUCCACCCAGGCACACACCAGCGGGCAGAGCGUCCCCCGUGGGAACCGAGACUUCCCCCUGGAGCGCAGGGACCGCCCUGAGCCUGGUGCCCGACCCCAAGACCGUGGUGACCUGACCUUCACUGCCCACCUGCUCGGACCCACGACCUGUGUCCCACACUUUCUUUAUAUGAACCUGGACGUGCUUUGGAGCACGUCUUUGAGACCCUAGUCUGCGGUCUCCGGGUGGUGGUCUCACCGAAAUAAAUUCCUUUCCCGUUUC
rnacentral:lncRNA from 1 species